rnacentral:RNase_P_RNA from 1 species
AAAGCAGGUCGUUCUAUCGCUUCUCAUGAAAAUGAGGGGAGGAAAGUCCGGACAACACAGAGCGCCACACUUCCUAACGGGAAGGCUUUAGUUAAGAAAUUGACUUAAGACAGCAAGUGCCACAGAAAAUGAACCGCCCCGAUUCGUUCGGGGUAAGGGUGAAAAUGUGAGGUAAGAGCUCACGGUAAUGUCGGGUAACCGGUGUUAUGGGUAAACCUUGUGGGUUGAAAGGCCAUGUAAACGGGCUGUUGGAAACCAACAGACAGGCGGCUCGCCUAGUACCGCGGGUAGGCCGAUAGAGGUGCGCAGUGAUGUUCAUCCCAGAUAAAUGAUAGAACUUUAAACUUCGGGUUUAUUCCGGGUUUAUCGACAGAAUCCAGCUUACAGACCUGCUUAUUUU